UGCCUCCAUUAACAAGGUGCUUUCUGUCUCUCCCUCUUCCUCUCCCCUAGUCUGCCUCCAUUAACAAGGUGCUUUCUGUCUCUCCCUCUUCCUCUCCCCUAGUCUGCCUCCAUUAACAAGGUGCUUUCUGUCUCUCCCUCUUCCUCUCCCCUAGUCUGCCUCCA